ensembl:lncRNA
GGCCUGAAGGAGGGGAAGAAGAUGAUCUUGAAGUCCAAAAUUACAUUACUGUCAUCGAGAUCAGAAUUGGGAUAAUGUGGAAUAACAGAGCACCAUACCUGGAGUGUGGGAUAGUACAGUUCGGAGAUGGUACCUGGAGACCCAUCUGUUUGUACAUGAUUUCAACGUAAUCUGUAACUACAUUGCCUUUGUAAAGAUGUUACUUAAAAAUGGAAGAGAAUACUUGUUAGAAACAUGAGCUGCGUCUAAUUCACAAGAGC